rnacentral:rRNA from 1 species
UACGUAGGGUGCGAGCGUUGUCCGGAAUUAUUGGGCGUAAAGAGCUUGUAGGCGGUUUGUCGCGUCUGCUGUGAAAAUCCGGGGCUCAACCCCGGACUUGCAGUGGGUACGGGCAGACUAGAGUGUGGUAGGGGAGACUGGAAUUCCUGGUGUAGCAGUGAAAUGCGCAGAUAUCAGGAGGAACACCGAUGGCGAAGGCAGGUCUCUGGGCCACUACUGACGCUGAGAAGCGAAAGCAUGGGGAGCGAACAGG